AGGUCAUUUCCAAGAAGGCUUAUGUGGCUGUGAAAUAAGAAGCUUUUAGCACUAUGAGCAAGGUUUAAUCUCUCCAUAAAUACCAUAGUAACUCAAUGGUGCUCUUUUUCUGAGGAGAUACAAGA
rnacentral:snoRNA from 1 species